AGAGUUUGAUCCUGGCUCAGAUUGAACGCUGGCGGAAUGCUUUACACAUGCAAGUCGAACGGCAGCACGGGAGCUUGCUCCUGGUGGCGAGUGGCGGACGGGUGAGUAAUAUAUCGGAACGUACCUUUUAAUGGGGGAUAACUAGUCGAAAGAAUAGCUAAUACCGCAUAAGCCCUGAGGGGGAAAGCGGGGGAUCGUAAGACCUCGCGUUAUUAGAGCGGCCGAUAUCUGAUUAGCUAGUUGGUGAGGUAAAGGCUCACCAAGGCGACGAUCAGUAGCUGGUCUGAGAGGACGACCAGCCACACUGGAACUGAGACACGGUCCAGACUCCUACGGGAGGCAGCAGUGGGGAAUUUUGGACAAUGGGCGCAAGCCUGAUCCAGCCAUUCCGCGUGAGUGAAGAAGGCCUUCGGGUUGUAAAGCUCUUUCGCAAGGGAAGAAACGAUUCAUCCUAAUACGGUGAGUUAAUGACGGUACCUUGAUAAGAAGCACCGGCUAACUACGUGCCAGCAGCCGCGGUAAUACGUAGGGUGCGAGCGUUAAUCGGAAUUACUGGGCGUAAAGCGUGCGCAGGCGGUUUUGUAAGUCAGAUGUGAAAUCCCCGGGCUCAACCUGGGAACUGCGUUUGAAACUACAAGGCUAGAAUAUGUCAGAGGGGGGUAGAAUUCCACGUGUAGCAGUGAAAUGCGUAGAGAUGUGGAGGAAUACCAAUGGCGAAGGCAGCCCCCUGGGAUAAUAUUGACGCUCAUGCACGAAAGCGUGGGGAGCAAACAGGAUUAGAUACCCUGGUAGUCC
rnacentral:rRNA from 1 species